CCGUGAAACUGCGAAUGGCUCAUUAAAUCAGUUAUCGUUUAUUUGAUAGUACCUUACUACUUGGAUAACCGUGGUAAUUCUAGAGCUAAUACAUGCUAAAAACCCCGACUUCGGAAGGGGUGUAUUUAUUAGAUAAAAAACCAAUGCCCUUCGGGGCUCUUUGGUGAUUCAUGAUAACUUAACGGAUCGCAUGGCCUUGCGCCGGCGACGGUUCAUUCAAAUUUCUGCCCUAUCAACUUUCGAUGGUAAGGUAUUGGCUUACCAUGGUUUCAACGGGUAACGGGGAAUUAGGGUUCGAUUCCGGAGAGGGAGCCUGAGAAACGGCUACCACAUCCAAGGAAGGCAGCAGGCGCGCAAAUUACCCAAUCCCGACACGGGGAGGUAGUGACAAUAAAUACUGAUACAGGGCUCUUUUGGGUCUUGUAAUUGGAAUGAGUACAAUUUAAACCCCUUAACGAGGAACAAUUGGAGGGCAAGUCUGGUGCCAGCAGCCGCGGUAAUUCCAGCUCCAAUAGCGUAUAUUAAAGUUGUUGCAGUUAAAAAGCUCGUAGUUGAACCUUGGGCCUGGCUGGCCGGUCCGCCUCACCGCGUGUACUGGUCCGGCCGGGCCUUUCCUUCUGGAGAGCCGCAUGCCCUUCACUGGGUGUGUCGGGGAACCAGGACUUUUACUUUGAAAAAAUUAGAGUGUUCAAAGCAGGCCUUUGCUCGAAUACGUUAGCAUGGAAUAAUAGAAUAGGACGUGCGGUCCUAUUUUGUUGGUUUCUAGGACCGCCGUAAUGAUUAAUAGGGAUAGUCGGGGGCAUCAGUAUUCAAUUGUCAGAGGUGAAAUUCUUGGAUUUAUUGAAGACUAACUACUGCGAAAGCAUUUGCCAAGGAUGUUUUCAUUAAUCAGUGAACGAAAGUUAGGGGAUCGAAGACGAUCAGAUACCGUCGUAGUCUUAACCGUAAACUAUGCCGACUAGGGAUCGGGCGAUGUUACUAUUUUGACUCGCUCGGCACCUUACGAGAAAU
rnacentral:rRNA from 1 species